GCGCGAGUAGCUCAACGGAUAGAGCAUCUGACUUCGGAUCAGAAGGUUGGGGGUUCGAGUCCCUCCGCGCGCA
rnacentral:tRNA from 1 species